rnacentral:lncRNA from 1 species
GUAACAAUACUCCUUCAUCAACUAAUAACAAUAGUGUGCAACCCUGCACUCUCAAAAGACCGCUCAAAAUACAAUAAUUUCCAUCCAACACUAGAAAUAACAGACUUCACUCCAAUCAAUCUGAAUUCACAUAAUUUCCAUAAUCACAGACUUCCUUUGUCCAAAACACACAUAGCUUUCAAUAAACAACAAUCAUAAUCCUCUAAUAACUCCUCAUACAAUUCAAUCACUCAGUGCUCUAAUUAUAUAAUCAAUAACUUAUAAAUCAAUCUCUGAUUUAUUCUACAGACUCACUUCUCAGUAUUCAGAAACUAUCCAUUACUUUUCAACAACAAAGAAAACAAAGAAACAAAGAAACAAAGAGACAAAGAGGUAGGACCAAGCUUACCCCCGCUCAUAACUAUCACAGU